rnacentral:lncRNA from 1 species
AAGGUCACAGAGGCCACUAGAGAUUAGAAUGAUGGUUGGGAAUUUGACAUUUUCUUUGGAACGUAACGAAGAUUUUUUUUUUCAGACGUUGAUGAAUGUGCAACUGGAAACGGGAACCUUUGUAGAAAUGGCCAGUGCGUCAACACGGUGGGGUCCUUUCAGUGCAGGUGCAAUGAAGGCUACGAGGUGGCUCCAGACGGCAGGACCUGUGUGGAUAUCAAUGAAUGUGUUCUGGAUCCUGGGAAAUGUGCACCUGGAACCUGUCAGAACUUGGACGGCUCCUACAGAUGCAUUUGCCCACCUGGGUACAGUCUACAGAAUGACAAAUGUGAAGAUAUUGAUGAGUGUGUCGAAGAGCCAGAAAUCUGUGCUUUGGGGACCUGCAGCAACACUGAAGGCAGCUUCAAAUGUCUGUGUCCAGAAGGGUUCU